rnacentral:rRNA from 1 species
AUUGAACGCUGGCGGCAGGCCUAACACAUGCAAGUCGAACGAGUGGCGGACGGGUGAGUAAUGUCUGGGAAACUGACUGAUGGAGGGGGAUAAAUACUGGAAACGGUAGAUAAUACAGCAUACCAUCAGAUGUGCCCACAUGGGAUUAGAUUGUUGGUGGGGUAACGGCUAACCAAGGCGACGAUCCCUAGCUGGUCUGAGAGGAUGACCAGCCACACUGGAACGGAGCAACGGUCCAGACUCCUACGGGAGGCAGCAGUUGGGAAUAUUGCACAAUGGGCGAAAGCCUGAUGCAGCCAUGCCGCGUGUAUGAAGAAGGCCUUCGGGUUGUAAAGUACUUUCAGCGGGGAAGCGUUACCCACAGAAGAAGCACCGGCUAACUCCGUGCCAGCAGCCGCGGUAAUAC